rnacentral:misc_RNA from 1 species
UGUUUUGUUGGCUGGAUGGUCUGUUUGGGUUUACCCAUACAGGGCGCUAGCCCGUCGGUGCUUUUGCACCGCGCCGUCCGCAGGCCUUUGGCCGUGAGGACAGAACUGAACA